rnacentral:misc_RNA from 1 species
AUCACAUUCUGUACGCUUCCUUUUCCAUAAAGAGGAAACCGGUGGGUGGCGGAGAGGGGAAGAGUCUCUCCACAGAAUACAGAGGACAUCUGAUCUUCUUGACUCUCUCUCUCUCUUGGCCACUUUGCCACUUUGUUAUUAUUGUUUUGUUUUUUUGAAAGAUGUUAUUAUUGUUAUGAUUAAUAUUAUUUCAGUUCUUGCAGAGUCACAGAAGAAUCUUCUUAAUCAAAAAUCACUUCAA